UGACGCCCCCAAUCUAGCCCAGACCUCUUUAUUUCCAACCUACCCCCUCAACCCCUGUAAUAAACCAUUCUAAAUCUCAAGUAUAUGCGAUUGAAAAAGAACUAGGAGCUUUACAAAUAGUACCGCAAGGGAAAGAUGAAAUAGAAAUUAAAUAAAUACUCAAGCAUGAAAUAGCAGAGAUUCCAACUCGUACCUUUUGCAUCAUGGUCUAACUAGUCUAACCAGGCAAAGAGAUUUUUAGUCUGGUCCCCCGAAACUAAGUGAGCUACUCCGAGGCAACCUUAGAGUGAACCCGUCUCUGUGGCAAAAGAGUGGGAAGACCUCUGAGUAGAGGUGACAUACCUAUCGAACUUAGUGAUAGCUGGUUACUCAAGAAACGAAUUUUAGUUCUUUCUUAAGAGGACUUAGCGCAUUUACAACAAGCAAACCCCACCUCCUAAGACCUAUUCAAUAAGGGUACAGCCUUAUUGAAAAAGGACACAACCUAAAACCCAGGUUAACGUUUUUAAGACCAAGAACAAGUUGGCUUAAAAGCAGCCACCUUUAAAACAGCGUCAAAGCUUUCUCUCCCGUCUUCCCCAAUCUCCAUCUCUUUACAGAACCCGGUACUGAUAUUGAGUCUUUCUAUACCCCUAUAGAAGUGUUUAUGUUAGAACUAGUAACACAGAAUUACUCCUCUCUAUGUAAGUGUAAAUCAGAUCGAAUAAAUCACUGAUAAUUACUCAGUAUUGAAGCCACUGUAGCAACCUUUCUAGAAAACCCUACCACUUCACACUGUUAACCUUACACAAGAACAUUUUGAGAAAGAUUAAAAGACAAGGAAGGAACUCGGCAAAUUUAAGUCUCGCCUGUUUACCAAAAACAUCGCCUCUUGCACCCUAUAAGAGGUAAUGCCUGCCCAGUGACCAUGUGUUCAACGGCCGCGGUAUUCUGACCGCGCGAAGGUAGCGUAAUCACUUGUCUUCUAAAUAAAGACUAGUAUGAACGGCCACACGAAGACUUAACUGUCUCCCCUGUCCAAUCAGUGAAACUGAUCUCCUUGUGCAGAAGCGAGGAUAAACCCAUAAGACGAGAAGACCCUAUGGAGCUUUAAACUUAAUAUUAACUAUUUCUAUAAUCCCCUCUAAGGAAUUAACAAAUAACCCUUUUCAACUUAAUAUUAGUUUUAGGUUGGGGCGACCAUGGAGAAAAAAAUAUCCUCCCUGAUGACUUUUAAACCAAGAGCUACAACUCUAAGUAUUAAGAUACUUAACUUCCAUUGACCCAUUUUAUGAUCAACGAACCAAGUUACCCUAGGGAUAACAGCGCAAUCCAUUUCAAGAGUCCCUAUCGACAAAUGGGUUUACGACCUCGAUGUUGGAUCAGGGCAUCCCAG
rnacentral:rRNA from 1 species